AGAACUGAACCAGAUCUUAAAAGCCUAAGUAUUGAAUCUU
rnacentral:sRNA from 1 species